GAAAACACUUUUAGGUCUAAGAUGCAUAAAUAAGUGAAUUAGAGAGAGAAGCUUAAACUUUCACUGGAUGGUGUUUGUACUGAAUGUUAAUGAGUUUCCCACUGUAGUGGAUUUAUGGUGGAAGAAGCAGAAUCAAUGUUGGCAGUGAGUAAAUACACAGUAAUUUGUUGACUGUAAAUUAAUGAUUAGAUUAUUGUAGGACUUAAACAUCAUAUCAUAACUUUCUAUCAGUCUACAGAAGGAGUGGAGAAUUAUUCUCACUUUAGCUCCACACCUUCAGUCGUAUAUUGCAAAGUUAUCAUUAGUACGUCAGCAUUUUUACUCAGUGAUGCAUUAUGGGUAAAACCUGUGCAAUUGCUGAUCUACAUUUUGUGAAUUUUCAGCUUUUAGUUUGUGUAAUUUAUUUGUGUGAAUUACUCACUAGCUGCAUCCUCAGUUUAGACUGACAAUCUUGAUGUUUAAAAAGAGAAAAAACACUAAAACGUAAUAAAAACAGUCAGAGAGUUAGUGUAUUAAUCAGCUGAUGUGAACAGAAGUUGGUGUUUUGUAGCUGUUUUGUAAUAAGAGGUUUAAAUGGAUGGAGAGAGCAGUGAGUUUAGAGCAGCAGGGUUUUUGUACGGCCACUAAACCUGUUUGUAUCACUGUGGUGGACUUUCGGUGGAGGAACUAAACUCAUUGUGAAAACUGGUCCGGUGGUGAAGCCCUCCGUGUCUCUGCUCCCUCCGUCCUCUCUGCAGCUCUCUGAGGGAUCGGCCUCAUUGCUCUGCCUGCUCUCGGCCUAUUCUCCACAGGGGGCGCUGCUGAGCUGGACUGUAGACGGUGUCGAGGUGAACGAGGGGUUUCUGACCAGCACAGAAGAACAGAAGAACGGCAUCUACAGCCGCAGCAGCACCCUGACCCUCAGCAAAGAACGCUGGGAAGAGGCCGAGGUGUUCGGCUGUACCGUCUCCCACCACGACACCACUCAGAUCACCUCGUUCCGAAAGAGCCGCUGUGAAGUCCACUAGAAUUCAAGUGUACACUUUAAAACACGCUUAGCAGUCUGAGGUGGUGUCAGUGGUGUAGCUAUGCUGAAAUAAAGCUUCAAUGUGGAAAGCAUGUCUCCUUUUUCAC